UACGUAGGGUGCGAGCGUUAAUCGGAAUUACUGGGCGUAAAGCGUGCGCAGGCGGUUUUGUAAGACAGGCGUGAAAUCCCCGGGCUCAACCUGGGAACGGCGCUUGUGACUGCAAGCUAGAGUGCGGCAGAGGGGGAUGGAAUUCCGCGUGUAGCAGUGAAAUGCGUAGAUAUGCGGAGGAACACCGAUGGCGAAGGCAAUCCCCUGGGCCUGCACUGACGCUCAUGCACGAAAGCGUGGGGAGCAAACAGG
rnacentral:rRNA from 1 species